rnacentral:rRNA from 1 species
UACGUAGGUGGCAAGCGUUGUCCGGAUUUACUGGGCGUAAAGAGCGCGCAGGCGGCUGGUCAAGUCCGAUGUGAAAUCUCCCGGCUCAACUGGGAAACUGCAUCGGAAACUGAUCGGCUUGAAGGUGGGAGAGGGUAGUGGAAUUCCCGGUGUAGUGGUGAAAUGCGUAGAUAUCGGGAGGAACACCAGUGGCGAAGGCGGCUCACUGGACCGGCAUUGACGCUGAGGUGCGAAAGCGUGGGGAGCAAACAGG